rnacentral:lncRNA from 1 species
ACACACCCUGGGAUUUCCAAGAAUAAGCUGAAAUCAUGGCUUCUUUUCUUGCAGCAACUCCAUUCUUUCAUUCCAUCAUGAAAUAAAGGCUGCAAAGUAGGGGAACGAUUACUUUUAUGGUUGUGAAUUUAGUAGGUAGCAAUACGACUAAAUUAAGUAGAACUUACUCCCUGAUGAUAUAGAUAUCCGUAGUGCGUCAAAUACAGCCCAGAUAUGCAAAAUGGAGAGCUCAGUUAGUCAAGUUAUUUUUACAAUAUAUAAUCGUAAAUAGAAGAAUAAAAAAACUAAAAAGCACCUGCAAUUACAAAUUACAAUAGCAUGGGGGUGUCAAUGUAGAUAAUAACUGAACCAAGUUGCCCUCUUUUAGUGUUGUUAAAAGAAACAAACAAUUACUUACAAUUAAAAUGUAAAAUAUCAAAAUGCAGGGAAAAAACAACAAAUACAAGAAACUAUUAUUGAUUCACAAUGUAUUCAUAGUCUCAUCUAAAUCGAUAUAAUCUUUUCCCUAUAAAUGAGGCAAAACUUCUUUAAGGUAAACUGUUCCGUUGCUAAGAAUGCCUAAUAACAUUAGCAAUACUUUUUUUUCAUUAAAAUUAAAUUCAUAUACAAACGGAAGGGGAAUAGCACUCUUGUGCCAUAAUUUCUUUAUUCUUCGUCUAAGAGCUGUUCGGAAGUGAAAUAUUUUCAUACCUUUGUAUGAAUACAUAUGUAACACACACAAAAAAACCCAGCGAUUUUCACUAUUGUGACUGAGAGUCAUAAUGCUUAAUCGGCAGCAUAUAAAUUUAAUUUAACUAUGUUAGUCAGUACGACAACUAAUUUAAGCAUUGCUAACACACUGGUGCUCGAAAUCAUUUGUACAAUUCACACCCACAAGCGCAAAUAUCAGCUUACUUCAAUAUAGAUAUAUGUCAUUAGUACAACUCUAUGUUUGAUGUUUCAAUUGGUAUAUCCUAAGCUAUACAAUCAAAACGAAAGAGCAAAAAGGGGAGAGAGAGAGAGAGAGACCGAAGCGUGAUAAGUGCAAGAAUCUUCAGGAUUAUCGUCUUCAGUGAAAGUGGCAUCACAGCCGAUCCUCUGGCAUCGAAGCUUAGACAUCUCUCUCUCGCUCGUUUUCUCUCUGUAUUUUGCUUUUGGGGGGC